AAAAGUGGGCAAGGCUGUGUCAGUUCACCAAAAAAAUACAUAUUAUUCUUGGAGAUAAAAAUAUUUGUUCUGUACCUGCAAUCAUAUUAAAGUUUCCUUCAUUUCCAAGUGUUCCUGGUGGGAUAUAUGAUGAAGCUCUUCAGUCUCGGCUAAGUAACCUCUCCUGGAAUCACUCUGGCCAACAGUAGAGCACAGAACAACUCCCGGGCACCAGUUGUGGAGGUGAUGACAGUAGUAAUGGCCACAAUGAGAAACUCAAAGGUAUAGACCCAGGACAUGACACCUGGAGAUAAACUGAAGCAAAAGAAUCAUUGAG
rnacentral:lncRNA from 1 species